GGCGGGGGGGUGCCUAAUACAUGCAAGUCGAGCGGACAGAAGGGAGCUUGGUCCCGGAUGUUAUCGGCGCCCCGGGUGAGUAACACGUGGGUAACCUGCCUGUAAGACUGGGAUAACUCCGGGAAACCGGAGCUAAUACCGGAUAGUUCCUUGAACCGCAUGGGUCACGGGUGAAAGACGGUUUCUGCUGUCACUUACAGAUGGACCCGCGGCGCAUUAUCUAGUUGGUGAGGUAACGGCUCACCAAGGCGACGAUGCGUAGCCGACCUGAGAGGGUGAUCGGCCACACUGGGACUGAGACACGGCCCAGACUCCUACGGGAGGCAGCAGUAGGGAAUCUUCCGCAAUGGACGAAAGUCUGACGGAGCAACGCCGCGUGAGUGAUGAAGGUUUUCGGAUCGUAAAGCUCUGUUGUUAGGGAAGAACAAGUGCAAGAGUAACUGCUUGCACCUUGACGGUACCUAACCAGAAAGCCACGGCUAACUACGUGCCAGCAGCCGCGGUAAUACGUAGGUGGCAAGCGUUGUCCGGAAUUAUUGGGCGUAAAGGGCUCGCAGGCGGUUUCUUAAGUCUGAUGUGAAAGCCCCCGGCUCAACCGGGGAGGGUCAUUGGAAACUGGGAAACUUGAGUGCAGAAGAGGAGAGUGGAAUUCCACGUGUAGCGGUGAAAUGCGUAGAGAUGUGGAGGAACACCAGUGGCGAAGGCGACUCUCUGGUCUGUAACUGACGCUGAGGAGCGAAAGCGUGGGGAAGCC
rnacentral:rRNA from 1 species